rnacentral:tRNA from 2 species
UAGAGUAUAGCUUAACUAAAGCAUCUCGCCUACACCGAGAUAAUGUCUGUGUAAACCAAACUACUCUGA